UACGUAGGGCGCAAGCGUGUCCGGAAUCACUGGGCGUAAAGAGCGUGUAGGCGGUCUGCCAAGUCUGUUGUGAAAGCGCCUGGCUUAACUGGGCGAGGUCGACGGAAACUGGCAAACUGGAGGCCGUAGAGGAGGGUGGAAUUCCCGGUGUAGUGGUGAAAUGCGUAGAGAUCGGGAGGAACACCCAGUGGCGAAGGGCGGCCCCU
rnacentral:rRNA from 1 species